rnacentral:rRNA from 1 species
UACGUAGGGUGCAAGCGUUAAUCGGAAUUACUGGGCGUAAAGCGUGCGCAGGGGGUUUUGUAAGUCUGAUGUGAAAUCCCCGGGCUCAACCUGGGAAUUGCGAUGGAGACUGCAAGGCUUGAAUCUGGCAGAGGGGGGUAGAAUUCCACGUGUAGCAGUGAAAUGCGUAGAGAUGUGGAGGAACACCGAUGGCGAAGGCAGCCCCCUGGGUCAAGAUUGACGCUCAUGCACGAAAGCGUGGGGAGCAAACAGG